rnacentral:rRNA from 1 species
UACGAAGGGGGCUAGCGUUGCUCGGAUUUACUGGGCGUAAAGGGCGCGUAGGCGGACAGUUAAGUCGGGGGUGAAAGCCCGGGGCUCAACCUCGGAAGUUGCCUUCGAUACUGGCUGUCUUGAGUGUGAGAGAGGGUGUGUGGAACUCCGAGUGUAGAGGUGAAAUUCGUAGAUAUUCGGAAGAACACCAGUGGCGAAGGCGACACACUGGCUCACUACUGACGCUGAGGCGCGAAAGCGUGGGGAGCAAACAGG